rnacentral:rRNA from 1 species
UACGGGGGGGGCAAGCGUUGUUCGGAAUUACUGGGCGUAAAGGGCUCGUAGGCGGCCAACUAAGUCGGACGUGAAAUCCCUCGGCUUAACCGGGGAACUGCGUCUGAUACUGGAUGGCUUGAAUCCGGGAGAGGGAUGCGGAAUUCCAGGUGUAGCGGUGAAAUGCGUAGAUAUUGGGAGGAACACCAGUGGCGAAGGCGGCUCACUGGACCGGAACUGACGCUGAGGCGCGAAAGCGUGGGGAGCAAACAGGG